CCUACGGGAGGCAGCAGUAAGGAAUAUUGGUCAAUGGACGCAAGUCUGAACCAGCCAUGCCGCGUGGAGGAUGAAGGCCCUCUGGGUUGUAAACUUCUUUUAUCUGGGACGAAAAAAGGUUUUUCUAAAUCGUCUGACGGUACCAGAUGAAUAAGCACCGGCUAACUCCGUGCCAGCAGCCGCGGUAAUACGGAGGGUGCAAGCGUUAUCCGGAUUCACUGGGUUUAAAGGGUGCGUAGGCGGGCAGGUAAGUCAGUGGUGAAAUCCUUGAGCUUAACUCGAGAACUGCCAUUGAUACUAUCUGUCUUGAAUAUUGUGGAGGUGAGCGGAAUAUGUCAUGUAGCGGUGAAAUGCUUAGAUAUGACAUAGAACACCCAUUGCGAAGGCAGCUCACUACGCAUAUAUUGACGCUGAUGCACGAAAGCGUGGGGAUCAAACAGGAUUAGAUACCCUGGUAGUCCACGCCCUAAACGAUGAUUACUCGACAUACGCGAUACACUGUGUGUGUCUGAGCGAAAGCAAUUAAGUAAUUCCACCUGGGAAGUUACGAUUGCAGNUUGAACUUCAAGGAUUGACGG
rnacentral:rRNA from 1 species